rnacentral:rRNA from 1 species
GAUGAACGCUGGCGGCGUGCCUAAUACAUGCAAGUCGAGCGAAUGGAUUAAGAGCUUGCUCUUAUGAAGUUAGCGGCGGACGGGUGAGUAACACGUGGGUAACCUGCCCAUAAGACUGGGAUAACUCCGGGAAACCGGGGCUAAUACCGGAUAACAUUUUGAACUGCAUGGUUCGAAACUGAAAGGCGGCUUCGGCUGUCACUUAUGGAUGGACCCGCGUCGCAUUAGCUAGUUGGUGAGGUAACGGUUCACCAAGGCAACGAUGCGUAGCCGGACGGGGGGGGUGAUGGGCCACGCUGGGACUGGGACACGGCCCAGACUCCUGCGGGAGGCAGCAGUAGGGAAUCUUCCGCAAUGGACGAAAGUCUGACGGGGCAACGCCGCGUGAGUGAUGAAGGCGUUCGGGUCGUAAAACUCUGUUGUUAGGGAAGAACAAGUGCUAGUUGAAUAAGCUGGCACCUUGACGGUACCUAACCAGAAAGCCACGGCUAACUACGUGCCAGCCGCCGCGGUAAUAC